ACGCUCGACACCUACGGAGGCAGCAGUGAGGAAUAUUGGUCAAUGGGCGCUAGCCUGAACCAGCCAAGUAGCGUGAAGGAUGAAGGCUCUAUGGGUCGUAAACUUCUUUUAUAUAAGAAUAAAGUGCAGUAUGUAUACUGUUUUGUAUGUAUUAUAUGAAUAAGGAUCGGCUAACUCCGUGCCAACAGCCGCGGUAAUCUGAGCGGGCUGGCAAGGC
rnacentral:rRNA from 1 species